rnacentral:rRNA from 1 species
UACAGAGGUCCCAAGCGUUGUUCGGAUUCACUGGGCGUAAAGGGUGCGUAGGCGGCGCGGUACGACCGCUGUGAAAGCCCCCAGCUCAACUGGGGAGGGUCAGCGGUAACGGCCGUGCUAUGAGUGCAGGAGAGGGAAGUGGAACUCCGGGAGUAGCGGUGAAAUGCGUAGAGACCCGGAGGAACACCAGUGGCGAAGGCGGCUUCCUGGUCUGCGACUGACGCUGUGGCGCGAAAGCUAGGGGAGCAAACGGG